GCAUUGGUGGUUCAGUGGUAAAAUUCUCACUUUCCAUGUGGGAAACUCGUGUUUGAUUCCCAACUAAUACA
rnacentral:tRNA from 1 species